AAGCUGGUCAAUGAAUCUGCUUACCUGAAUGUGUUUCUGCAGAAAUUUAGUAAAUGCCGGCAAUAGGAGAGCCGUGUCACGAGCCUUCAAGACGGGGAUGUCUUUAAGGUCCCUGAAAAUGGCAACAAGA
ensembl:snoRNA